AAAUCCCUGAGACGGGGUUGGUCCAGGGAAUCCUGGAACAUUCUUGCACCUUCUCUCUACCCACAAGAGCUGCUCGGAUUUCUUCUCCUUUCCUCCCUCGCCCCCUCCUUCUUCCUCCUUUCCUUCCCCUUCUCCUCCUUCCUCCAUAAGUAUUCAAAGCUUUUAAAUAGAGGGGGAGGAAGGAAGCUAGGGCUGGAAGUUUCCCUGACGUGCGCCAAGGCGCCCUGGCAGCUGCUCCAGCCUCGUGACACAGCCUCACCCCUCUCCGGAAUCCCUGAGGAAAUCCCGUCCAUGGAGCUGGAUUCCUGCCACUGAUGGGACACGUGGGUUCUUAGCUAGGGUCUUCCCUGGUGGCUCAGAGAGUAAAGAGUCUGCCUGCAAUGCGGGAAACCUGGGUUCAAUCCCUGGUCAGGAAGAUCCCCUGGAGAAGGAAAUGGCAACCCACUCCAGUAUUCUUGCCUGGAGAAUCCCAUGGACAGAGGAACCUGGUGGGCUACAGUCCAUGUGGUCUCAAAGAGUUGGACAUGACUGAAGUGGCUUCACUUUAUGUACAGAAGCUCUUACAUCAGUGGCACCAAGGUCAACCCAUGAGAAGUUGGAGACUCCAGGCCCCGUGAUGAAGUCAAGCCCUGGGGAUGAGUUAACCAGGAUAGGACCCCGGACUGAGGCGGGAGGGUCAGAGCCAAUCACUGCGAAGAGAAAGUCCUGGGACCCUGGUAGAGCCUUCAGAGUCAUGUGGCUUGAUGGUCUACUCCUAUACAUGGGGAAACAGAAGCCCAGAAACCACAGAUUUGCAGAAGCUUGUAAUGGCAGACCCAAGACCCAGCUCUUUGGAUUCUGUGCCAUGUAAUUCAUUCCACACACGCUGGGGAAAGAGCUGGAGAACAUAGGAGUG
ensembl:lncRNA